GGAAUCUUCCACAAUGGGCGCAAGCCUGAUGGAGCAACGCCGCGUGAGUGAAGAAGGUCUUCGGAUCGUAAAACUCUGUUGUUAGAGAAGAACACGAGUGAGAGUAACUGUUCAUUCGAUGACGGUAUCUAACCAGCAAGUCACGGCUAACUACGUGCCAA
rnacentral:rRNA from 1 species